rnacentral:rRNA from 1 species
UACGGGGGGGGCAAGCGUUGUUCGGAAUUACUGGGCGUAAAGGGCUCGUAGGCGGCCAACUAAGUCAGACGUGAAAUCCCUCGGCUUAACCGGGGAACUGCCUCUGAUACUGGAUGGCUUGAGAUUGGGAGAGGGAUGCGGAAUUCCAGGUGUAGCGGUGAAAUGCGUAGAUAUCUGGAGGAACACCGGUGGCGAAGGCGGCAUCCUGGACCAACACUGGCGCUGAGGAGCGAAAGCCAGGGGAGCAAACAGG